UUCCGGUUGAUCCUGCCGGAGGCUACCGCUAUUGGAGUUCGAUUAAGCCAUGCGAGUCGCGAGAAAUUAGAUUCUCGGCGUACCGCUCAGUAACACGUGGGUAACCUGCCCUAUGCUGGAUAAUAACCUCGGGAAACUGAGAAUAAUGAUCCAUAGUUCACUACGCCUGGAACGGUGAGUGGAUGAAAGCCCCGGCGGCAUAGGAUGGGCCUGCGGCGUAUCAGGUUGUAGGGGGUGUAACGUACCCUCCAGCCCUCUACGCGUACGGGUGUUGGGAGACAUAGCCCGGAGAUGGAUUCUGAGACACGAAUCCAGACCCUACGGGGUGCAGCAGGCGCGAAAACUUGGCAAUGCGAGAAAUCGUGACCAGGGAACUCCAAGUGCAUCGGGUAAGACCGGUGCUUUUCUUGACUCUAAAUAGGUCUUGGAAUAAGGGGUGGGUAAGGACGGUGCCAGCCGCCGCGGUAAUACCGGCGCCUCAAGUGGUAGUCGCUUUUAUUGGGCCUAAAACGUCCGUAGCCGGUCUGAUACAUUCGUGGGUAAAUCAACCAGCUCAACUGGUUGAAUUCUGCGAGGACGGUCAGACUUGGGACCGGGAGAGGUGUGGGGUACGCUCAGGGUAGGGGUAAAAUCCUGUCAUCCUGAGCGGACCACCUGUUGCGAAGGCGCCACACUAGAACGGAUCCGACGGUCAGGGACGAAGCCUAGGGGCACGAACCGGAUUAGAUACCCGGGUAGUCCUAGGUGUAAACGCUGUGGACUUGAUGUUGGGGGUGCUCCGAGCACUCUCAGUGUCGAAGCGAAGGUGAUAAGUCCACUGCCUGGGAAGUACGGUCGCAAGGCUGAAACUUAAAGGAAUUGGCGGGGGAGCACUGCAACGGGAGGAGCGUGCGGUUUAAUUGGAUCAACGCCGAA
rnacentral:rRNA from 1 species